CCGUGGGGAGAGGCCAGGACCCGAGAUCCCCCUUCCCGCCCUAGCCGCGGUUUCCCCACUCACCGGUUUCAUCAGUAACAUAGGGAGUCGCCAUCUUGGAAACGCAACCUACUUCCUGUCUCAUUGCCACCGCCUCCUCCGGAUAUGGCGUACGGGGAGGGGAAGAAAAAGAGGGCCCGGCGGCCAUUUUGUUCUUUAAGUAGACAUAGCCGCGGCCUUUCUUUCUUCUCUGUCCGCCGCCUUUGUGUCCCAGCAUGCUGUGCGGCGGCAGCAGCAGCAGCAGCCUCUGCGCAGCUGAGCUCUCCCGGGCUGAGGACAGAGCCGGUAGCUGCGCCUCACGGCUUCGUGAAGGACCAGAAGUCUGGCUUUACAGUUUUGAACCCGGGUCAUUUUAAUGCCUAAUAAUGGCGCUGGCCUCGUCUCGUUAUUUCCACGAGGCAGGGAAUAGUGGUGGUCUUGCAUUUCAAUCCAAGGAGGAGCCGCAGGAUCACAUCCCCCCCCCCUCAGCCCCCUCGAAGCUCAGCGGUUGAGAUUUGGCCAGUCACUUCUUAGCCUAACCUACCUCACAGGGUUGUUGUGAAUCACACCACUCUGAGCGCCUUGAAACCAGAGCAGGAUCUAAAUACUGCUGCUACCCCUGACCUGAAUCCAGGGCACUGAAGAAAACCAUGAGGGGUAAAAGGAACCAACAAGAAAUGGAAAUCCAGUGCUUUGCUCUAGAACAGUGUUCUUCAUUGUAAGGCUCAGGCAGCUCCCAUCAAACCACCAAUUAGUCAAGGAGUGAGACCAAGCUUCGUAAGAUUUGGAGCCACCAAGCCCUGACAAAAACCAGCUAAAUACCUGUAUGACCUGAUAUAUUCAGCACACAGAAGAGCACUGACAUUGGCUCAGCUGGAUGUGCUGCCCUCUGCGGGAACAGAGGGUAGGUAUAGAAGAGUUCCUUAUUUGGAGAGACUGUGCCCUUGUGGAAGUGAGAAGAUUGAAAUGGUUGCCAUGUGCUUCUGUAUUAUUCUUUCUGUCGCAAGCUCAUUCCAAAUAUAUUGCUCUUCUCAUUCUUAGAUACCCUGACAAUUCGGAUGAAUUUUAUAUAAACUUAUUUCUUUAUGAUAAACACACUUAUGUCUCGCACUCAAUAGCCAAAUUCUGUACAGCUGCAAUUAAAAUUCGCUCAUGGUG